rnacentral:rRNA from 1 species
UCCUACGGGGGGCAGCAGUGAGGAAUAUUGGUCAAUGGGCGCGAGCCUGAACUAGCCAAGUCGCGUGAGGGAAGACGGUCCUAUGGAUUGUAAACCUCUUUUGUCGGGGAGCAAAAGACGCCACGCGUGGCGUUCCGAGAGUACCCGAAGAAAAAGCAUCGGCUGACUCCGUGCCAGCAGCCGCGGUAAUACGGAGGAUGCGAGCGUUAUCCGGAUUUAUUGGGUUUAAAGGGUGCGUAGGCGGGACGGUAAGUCAGCGGUAAAAAUGCGGAGCUCAACUCCGUCGAGCCGUUGAAACUGUCGUU